GGGCCCGUGGCCUAGCUUGGACAGGGCACUGGCCUCCGGAGCCAGGGGUCCCGGGUUCGAGUCCCGGCGGGCCCGCCA
rnacentral:tRNA from 1 species